rnacentral:rRNA from 1 species
UAACAAGGUUUCGGUAGGUGAACCUGCGGAAGGAUCAUUG